rnacentral:lncRNA from 1 species
AACCGAGCCCUUGGGGAGACCCAGUAUCUUUCGUGCAAAAGAGUUUUGUAGAAUCUCCAGCCGUUGUAGUGUUUUUAAAUUCCACCCCCAGAUUUCAACCCCAUACAGUAACAUCGGGAGGACUUUGCUAAUAAAUGCUUUUCUGAUUGGUGGAACCAACUGGCCGCCUUUUGCAUAGAAGAAUUUCUCCAAGGCUUUGAUGGUUCUACGGGCAGCCAGGAUGGUCAUAUUUAGGUGAGCUGACCAGCUAAGCCCAUGCUGAAAAGUGAUUCCCAAAUACUUGAAAGCUGAGCAAUAUUCAAUAGAGUGGCCCUCAAAGUUCCAGAAUGACUUCCGAGUUUUCGUGCCAAAAGUAAGAAUUUUGGUUUUGGCGAAAUUGAUUUUGAGGGAAUUGGUAUCACAAUAUGUCAUGAGCCCUCUGAGCAUGUUGUUUAAGCCCUGCUUGGUUAAAGACAGUAUCACCAUGUCGUCCGCAUAGAGUAAUAUGGGGAUCUUGAGCUGUUGUAGAGAGGGGGCAGAUUGAUUUAGGGCCUGCAUAGUUGUAACGAUGUCGUUGAUAUAGAAAUUGAAUAGAAAAGGGGCCAAGAGGCAACCCUGUUUGACCCCUUUAUUCAGAGGGAAAGAAUCAGAAAGAGCUCCCAGGGGCCGAAUUUUACUCUGGCCGAUAUGUCAUUAUGAAUUUCCAUAAGAAGAAGGAGGAGUCUCUUAUCUAUGUUGGUGUAACUAAGCUUCUGCCAUAGCCUAUCUCUGGGAAUGGAGUCAAAAGCGGAGGUCAGGUCCACAAAAGCCGCGUGUAGUUUGCAGUUAAACCUGUUUAGGUAUUUAUCAAUCAGGGUAAAUAGAACAAGACAUUGGCCAGAUGUACUGUGACCUUUACGGAAGCCAGCCUGUUCCGAGUGGAAUAGCUUUGUUUCUUCUGCCCACUCGAUUAAUUUCUCUAGCAAGAAUCUAGAGUAAACCUUGUAUGAUAUGUCUAGCAGGCUGAUGGGUCGAUAGUUACGCGGAUCUUGUGGGUCCCCUUUUUAUGUAUUGGGAUGACUAUGCUCUGUUUCCAAUUUGGCGGGAUCUUAAGAGUGGCAUUAAUAGUGGUAAAGAGAGAUGCAAAAAUAGGGGCCCACCACAUCUGGUUCAAUAAGAAUACCUCGGGUGGAAUCAUAUCCUCCCCGGGAUUUAUCCCCUGAUAACAUGCUAAUUAGUUGUACACAUCUCUCUGGGGAGACUGGCUCCCAGGUGGGCAAGGCAGAUGCAGGAAGAGUGGAAACUGCGUUUACGUCGGAAUCUGGGGCGGAGUACAGCUGAGCAAAGUGAGAGUGCCAACUGGCUGCUGUAAUGUUAUUAACGAUGAAUGAGGGGGGUCUUAAACCUGCAUUAAUUAAAUUCCAGAAUUUCUUGUCAUCACGGGUUUUAAUGGCCACUGACAAUGCCGUCCAGCGUUCUUUCGCAAAGAUCAAUUUCUUAUGUUGGAGCAACUUCUUGUAGUAAGAACGGAAUUGGGCUAACUCCCUGAUUUUGCUCUGGGUGCUGUCUGAUUUCAUAUCAGACUGAAGAGAUCUAAGCCUACUUCUGCACUGUUUACAUUCUUGGUCGAACCAAGUUUGAUUCUUCCAGAUUAGACUCGCACGGGAGGGUUUCGUAAGUGAUGGGAGCAAGUAGGCUAGAAUUUGUUGGAAACUUGAGAAAUGAUUCACAUUCAUUGUUACCAGCUGAGCUUUCAGGGCUAGGAUCUCAGGGGAAUUUAGGAGGACUUUUAUGUCUUGCUCCAGAUAGAUAUCCCACUUCUUACGACCGGGGCUAAGGUCAGUGAAUCCUGGAGGAGGAGUGAGCUGGGGAGCCCCAGCUGUGUGUGGUGGAAGGAGAUGGCAAUAGGAAGGUGGUCACUUUCGGUUCUAUUGAACACAUUGAAACAAUAUGCCUUAUCAUUAAGUGCCGAGGAGGACCAGAUAUAAUCUAUAACGCUUGCCCCUCUAGAUCCUAGAAAAGUAUAGCAUCCCCCGGACCAGUCUUUGGGUGUACCAUGCAUGCUGUGCAGCCCGCAGUUAAUGGUAAACUCCAGCAGUAUGAUGCCAGCCCUAUUAAUGGUCUUGUCAUGUGAAUUCCACGUAGGAAACCACUCCUCUUCUAUGAAUAGUUGCGACUUAUCGGUGAAUGAGCUUAUAUCUGCUCCGAUUCUGGCAUUAAAGUCCCCCAUUAUGAGGAUCUCUGACUUUGGGAAUUCAGCCACAGAUUUAUCAAGGAUAAAUCUUAGAUCCUCCCAAAACCGAUUUGUAUGGGAAGAGGAGUAGGUAGAUGGAUUGUACAAGUUAACACAUAUGAAGUCCCCAACCGGGCUGUUAGUGAUGUGCAAAGUUUGAAUACAAUUACUCUCUAACCAAAGGAGAGGAGAGAUAUUAAGAUGAAGCUCCUGCGAAACAAAUGUUACCAGGCCUCCACUAGGGCGCCCAUGCAAAUGUGUUUUGGUCGCAGGAAUCACAAAAGCAUCAUAGCCCAGUAGGGAAGGGGGGGGUGACGAUUCUAAGCACCAGGUCUCUUGUAUACCCAUAAUCUGGAAUUUCGCUAAAAACUCUAUCAUAUCCCCGCCAUCCUGUUUGGACGUCCAUCCCGCCACGUUCCAGGAUAGCACAUUGAAGCAGUUUGGGGAGGGACUAUGUGCUAGUCAGAUACUCUGGUUGCUGGUGGAAGAAGCAUUGCCAAGGGUCUGAGACCGCGCCAGGCGUGAUACAGCCGAAGGUAUCGAAGGGGUGGUAAUUUGAUUGAUGUGGCCAGCAGGGUCUUCAAUAAAGCCUGAGCUGUCUCUUUGCACAGUGGCUUCCUUAGCGUUUAUAUAUUGGCUUGAAGAGGUUACGGAUACAAGAGGUUCUACCAAACGGGGUUGACUGACAAAGGACGAGGAUAUACAGUCUUCUGCCUGGACCGCACUGAAUGAGGACUCCAGGUCAGGCAUGGAAGAAUAGGACAUUGACAGAUUACCUGUAUGAAUGGUGAUUGGCAUAUUGCUCUUUAAGGCGAGGGACGAGGUAGUUGAUUGCAAAUCUAUUAGUAGAGGUGAAGAGGGUCUGCGUUGCGACGGUGUAUGAGGAGCUUCCGCCAGGCAGACUGCCAUAUCAUCCGUUAUUGGAGUCCCAGUGAUUGGCAGGGGUUUCUGGGGUGUUAGUCCCUUCAUGUCUGCGUUCCUUUGAUUUAAUAGGUUGCUAUGACCAGGUUUUGAGGAGAUUUUCUCUUGAAGUACAUGUGUAAGUUGCUGCUUGAGUGUAUCAAGCCUGUUUAUAACUUCCUGCUGUUCUACUAAUGGCAACUCGCCAUAGGAUGAAAUAAGGUCCCUCUCCUCUGAGGAAGCCAGAUGACUGGGUCCGCUUUGGUCAUGCUUCUCUGUUGCUGGGGUAGAUAAACCAGGAAGCUUGGGCUGAGAGGGAGGGUGAGGUUCCUGGGUAGACAGCUUGAGUUUCGAGACUAUAUCGCGCCUGUCUGGCGAGCGGAUACCUUUUUGUACGAUGCUACGGAAAAGAGGUUUAGUCCUGGUGUCAUUAAAGACUCUCGUUGGGAAGAUGCCCCAGGUGGCCAAUAACGCUUUGCGCCUAACCAGUAUGGAGGGAAUUUUUGGUGACUGGAAGGAGAGCAGUACUUUUGGAACCGAUGGUGGUAGUAUAAAAGUUUCACUGUACUGAGAUCUAUUAGCGGAGGCCUAAUCUGUAGGAGUUGCCUUAGAUGAUCUUUGACCUCUCUCGGGUUAAUCCACCUUGGGGACCUGGGGUCACUGCUGCGUAUAGUUAGACAUAUUUUGUUUGGUUGUAAGAUCAGAGAUUGAGAGUCCAGUUGAGAUUUUAGGAGAUGAACACCAGUACCACUUUCAUGUCUAACAGGGGAGGUACACCACUGUCUCUUUAAAUCCCUCGGAGGCAGAGUGAGGUUGUGCUGCGGCUCCAGCAAAUGGGCCUCAAGCUUUUGGUGGAGAUUAUUCACCUGCAUGGAGAUCCCAUUUAUGCUCUUAAAGAUGCAGCGCAGGGUCCUGGUUAUUAAUUGGAAAUGCUCGAAUCCCAAACCAUCGCCCAGGGCCAGCUCGGACUCCCCUUCGAGGUGACUCUCACUUCUUUGUCAUUAUCAUUAGCAUUUUCGUUGCCUUCGAGUUCACCCCUCCACUUCUAUAUCGGGUACGAGGUCAAUUAAAGGAUUAAAACGAUUGUGAGUUUCAACCGUGUAGCUAUCUUCCUUGUUAUUUCUGCUCCAGUUAAGAAGGAAAGAAUCAAUCUUAGACUGUUUGGGCCUCGGGGGAGGCAUUGCCUCAUCCAGGUCCCUUGGCCGCUUGCCAUGGCCCAUAGUGGAGAUUAGGAGAAAUAUCCGCAAUAAUUGGAAUUGUCUUAAAGCACCUUAGAGAGUAUUGCGGAAGGCAGGGGAGUGGUGAGCG